rnacentral:tRNA from 1 species
GCCUGGGUGGCUCAGUCAGUUGAGCAUCUGACUUUGGCUCAGGUCAUGAUCUCGUGGUUCGUGAGUUUGAGCCCCGUGUCAGGCU